GUGGCGCAGCCAACAGGUAGCAAGAGGUCGAGACCAUCCAAAACAAAACUGCUACAUCUCUUAUCUAGGCUGAUGGCUGAGGUCACUAGUUUUUAUCCGCGGAUUGGAAAAAUGACAUAAUUCACGGACAAAAUCCAUUGAUGGUCUUACCCAAUAUCUAACACAACCCAAAUGCUGUGCACUGUGGGUAAACACUUUGCAGAAACAACAUCCGGCUCUCCAUGUGCGCAACAGAGUGGUGUGUGUGUGUGUGUGUGUGUGUGUGUGUGUGUGUGUGUGUGUGUGUGUGUGUGUGUGUGUGUGUGUGUGUGUGAGUCUCCUUUACCUCGGACAGCUUCUGAGGCACUGACCUGCCCCUGCCUGUGGACAAGACUGCCAUAGUCAUUUUGUCAAACUAACGGGACAAAGGCUCCAAAGAUGCUUUUGAUUUUGUUGGACAUCAACAUGUCUCGCGGGGCAGACAGCGCCUCACAUCACUGCCAUCCACCGGCUGCUCUCAAUCAGCACUACUGCGUUAGUUGCAUUUUUAACAUGUAGACUGUACUUUUUUCCUGUUCAUGGAUCAAACCUGGAUUCCGAGUAGAAGAACUGCAUUGUUGAGUUAUGCUCAGGUAUGUGCAUACAGCCAUGUAAAUGUAUUGUGUGUUUCGGUCAUGUACAUACAGGGCAGGCGUACAUCUUUUAGGCCUCGAUAAACUUUUAGUGUAAGUAGAGGAUUUUUAAUAAAGUUACAGUAUGUAUAAUAGAUAGAACUAUAUCACAAGGUACAAAUAAACAUCCUUAGAAAAUGA